ACACUCAGAUUCCACACGAACUCUCCUGUGUGUGUGUCUGUUUGUCGCUCAUCCACGCUUUGCCCACCCGCGUCGAGAGACCCCGUUCCACGCAGACACAGGGACCCAGAAGUUUCUGCGUCAGCGCCAGUAUUUGCGGGACCAUUUGCCAAACCCUGUGCUGCCUGCUGCUCUUUGAUCUGUAAACCUGAAGCCAAGCCAACAGGGUCUGCAAGCAGCUGUUCUGGAGCUCUGCAAACCGCAUCUAAACCAAGGUCUCAUCUAAGGAAAAGG
rnacentral:lncRNA from 1 species